UGAAUCGAUUUGUAAAAUUAA
rnacentral:piRNA from 1 species